rnacentral:lncRNA from 1 species
CCACGCCUCAGCUACAAUCACAGGAGCUAAAAUUAUGCCGUGAUACUAGUUUUGGAAUAAAUUUAACCUUCAAUUGAUAAACCAAUCACAAAGUUAGGCAAAAACAAUUGAUGAAUAACAAAUAAACACUAUAAAUUAAGCAAGAAAUCAAAUUCUCUUACAAAAUGGAAAUGGGACCCAAAGAUGGAUUAUACAGGGCCAUAUCAAGACUUAAAUCACAAGACGACUCUAAUACCAAACUGUCCCAAGGGAUCUUGUGCCAUAACCAUGAAGGAAUCACUAAAAUGAGGUUGCAAAAUAGAGGCAGAGAAGUGAUCUUAACAGGCAACAAUAGGGGGUGAACAAGAGGCGCAAACAAGGAUAGUCAAAGGGAAAAAAUAAAGGAUAGAGAUAUACUCUAGCAAGGAGAACAAUAACCGCUCACAGAGAAUGAAAGAGGGCAGCCAAAGGUUGAGGACUAAGAGCACGAAGGAAGCAGUAGCUAUUCUCUCAAAAGGGAGG